rfam:Triticum aestivum genome assembly, contig: Triticum_aestivum_CS42_TGACv1_scaffold_328460_4BS
CUAGUACUCCCUCCGUCCGAAAAUAAUUAUCAUCGAAAUGAAUAAAUAGAGAUGUAUCUCAAACUAAAAUACAUCUAGAUGCACCUUUUUUAUCCAUUUCGAUGAAAAAUAUUUCUGAACGGAGUGAGUAUUCC